AACGAACGCUGGCGGCGUGCUUAACACAUGCAAGUGGAGCGGCGAACCAGGGCUUGCCCUGGGGCAGAGCCGCGAACGGGUGAGUAACACGUGGGUAACGUGCCCCAAUGAUCGGGACAACCCGGGGAAACCCGGGCUAAUACCGAAUGUGCUCCCCUCACACCAGUGAGGGAUGGAAAGGAAGCUUCGGCCUCCGCAUUGGGAUCGGCCCGCGGCCCAUUAGCUUGUUGGUGAGGUAACGGCUCACCAAGGCUGCGAUGGGUAGCUGGUCUGAGAGGACAAUCAGCCACACUGGGACUGAGACACGGCCCAGACUCCUACGGGAGGCAGCAGUGGGAAAUCUUGCGCAAUGCGCGAAAGCGUGACGCAGCAACGCCGCGUGGGGGAAGAAGGCCUUCGGGUUGUAAACCCCUUUCAGGAGGGACGAAGCCUUGGCGGUUAAUAGCCGACCGAGGUGACGGUACCUCCAGAAGAAGCCCCGGCUAACUACGUGCCAGCAGCCGCCGUAAAAC
rnacentral:rRNA from 1 species